AACGAACGCUGGCGGCAUGCCUAACACAUGCAAGUCGAACGAGACCUUCGGGUCUAGUGGCGCACGGGUGCGUAACGCGUGGGAACCUGCCCUUAGGUUCGGAAUAACUCCCCGAAAGGGGUGCUAAUACCGGAUAAUGUCUUCGGACCAAAGAUCUAUCGCCUUUGGAUGGGCCCGCGUUGGAUUAGCUAGUUGGUAGGGUAAAAGCCUACCAAGGCGACGAUCCAUAGCUGGUCUGAGAGGAUGAUCAGCCACACUGGGACUGAGACACGGCCCAGACUCCUACGCGAGGCAGCAGAGGGGAAUAUUGGACGAUGGGCGAAAGCCUGAUCCAGCAAUGCCGCGUGAGUGAUGAAGGCCUUAGGGUUGUAAAGCUCUUUUACCCGGGAUGAUAAUGACAGUACCGGGAGAAUAAGCGCCGGCUAACUCCGUG
rnacentral:rRNA from 1 species